GCCACUUCGGUGGCAGGAAGACAGGUGGUGCAUGGUUGUCGUCAGCUCGUGUCGUGAGAUGUUGGGUUAAGUCCCGCAACGAGCGCAACCCUUAUUGUUAGUUGCUACCAUUUAGUUGAGCUCUCUAGCGAGACUGCCCGGGUUAACCGGGAGGAAGGUGGGGAUGACGUCAAAUCAUCAUGCCCCUUACGUCUAGGGCUACACACGUGCUACAAUGGUCGGUACAAUGAGAUGCAACCUCGCGAGAGUGAGCAAAACUAUAAAACCGAUCUCAGUUCGGAUUGUAGGCUGAAACUCGCCUACAUGAAGCUGGAGUUGCUAGUAGUCGCGAAUCAGAAUGUCGCGGUGAAUACGUUCCCGGGCCU
rnacentral:rRNA from 1 species